AAAUUGAAGAGUUUGAUCAUGGCUCAGAUUGAACGCUGGCGGCAGGCCUAACACAUGCAAGUCGAACGGUAACAGGAAGCAGCUUGCUGCUUUGCUGACGAGUGGCGGACGGGUGAGUAAUGUCUGGGAAACUGCCUGAUGGAGGGGGAUAACUACUGGAAACGGUGGCUAAUACCGCAUAAUGUCGCAAGACCAAAGAGGGGGACCUUCGGGCCUCUUGC
rnacentral:rRNA from 1 species